rnacentral:rRNA from 1 species
CCUGGCUCAGAACGAACGCUGGCGGCAUGCCUAAUACAUGCAAGUCGAACGAGACCUUCGGGUCUAGUGGCGCACGGGUGCGUAACGCGUGGGAAUCUGCCCUUGGGUUCGGAAUAACGUCUGGAAACGGACGCUAAUACCGGAUGAUGACGAAAGUCCAAAGAUUUAUCGCCCAGGGAUGAGCCCGCGUAGGAUUAGCUAGUUGGUGAGGUAAAGGCUCACCAAGGCGACGAUCCUUAGCUGGUCUGAGAGGAUGAUCAGCCACACUGGGACUGAGACACGGCCCAGACUCCUACGGGAGGCAGCAGUAGGGAAUAUUGGACAAUGGGGGCAACCCUGAUCCAGCAAUGCCGCGUGAGUGAUGAAGGCCUUAGGGUUGUAAAGCUCUUUUACCCGAGAUGAUAAUGACAGUAUCGGGAGAAUAAGCUCCGGCU